CCCAGUUAAAGUAUUCCAAGACUGGUAUAUGGCUCUGGUACUUAAUGAGCUUGACUUGAUCUACACAACAAGUUUACUGAAGCCACUUAUUAUAUAACUGACUUCAGGGAACAGGAAGAAGACAGGAGAAUGGGAUUGAAGAAGAUCAGCUGUGAUUGAACGGUUGACAGCUGGCUGACGUUAUUUUUGGUUUGCUGCUGGCGGCAAAUUUAAGUUUGGCAUUUUUCAUAAAUACAAGAAGGACUCAAAUAGACGUUGAGUAUUUUACUUAAAAGUAACCUUCAACCCAACGUCUUUUUUUCGGAGUUCAAAAUGUUUUUGUUGCAUGCAGAAAUGUAAUUUCGUUUUCUCUGCAGGAGUUCAUCAAUUUCAUAAAUGCAACACAUUAUAGUUUGUUUAUACAUAGCAUAAAGGCAAAACAAAACGUUGUAUGCAGUGUUAUUUCAUUUUAAAUGUCAAACGGGUUUUGCGGCUCCCAGUGUUUUCUUUUCUGUGGGAAACGGGUCCAAGUGGCUCUUUCAGUGGUAAAGGUUGCUGACCCCUGCUCUAAUCAAUUCUGGCUCAUUGCACAACACCCAGUCCAGAACAGCUGAUCCCCCAGUGGGCUCAACCAUGAGCUACUUUGAAAAUCGAUCUCAUAGGCACUCUGGAAAUUCCCCCUCCUGUAACCCAGCACCAACCUGAUUUUCCCAAUUUACCUGUAUACUGAAUUCCCCCAUGACUAUUCUAACAGUGUCUCUUUGGCAUGUAUUUUCUACCUCCCAUUGUAAUUCGUCGGCCACAUCCUUACUACUGUCUGGGGGCCUGUAUACAAUUCCCAUCAGGGUCUUUAUACCCCUGCAGUUCAUUGGCUCUAUCUACAAUGAUUCAGCACUUUCUGACUCUAUGUCACCUCUUUCUGAUGAUUUGAUUUCAUUUUUUACCAACAGUGCAACGCUGGUCCUUUUGCACUUCUGCCUGUUCCUUCAAUACAAUCUGUAUCCUUGGACAUUAAGCUCACAGCUAUAAUCUUUCAGCCGUGGUUCAGUGAUGCCUACAACAUCAUCCCUGCCAAUCUGAAACUGUGCAACUGUGCACGUCCAUCUACCUUUUUCCAUAUACUGCACACAUUCAGGUAAAACAUCUUCUGUCCUUUAUUCACCCUUUCUAAUUUUGUUGCACCAUGCUCAACUUUUUGAUUCCUAACUUUGUCUAAAGUCUUACCAGCAUCUGCCUCCACAACCUCUCCAUUAACUGUUCUGGUGCUCCGGUUCCCAUCCCUCUGGAACUCUAGUUUAAAUCCCACCGCGCAGCAUUAAAAAACCAUCCCACGAGGGUAUUAGUCCCUCUCCUUUUCAGAUGCAAACCGUCCCUUCUGCAUUGGUCCCACCUUCCCUGAAAGAGAGCCCAAUGAUCCACAAAUUGUAUGCCAUCCUUCCUCCACCAACUCCUUAGCCACGCAUUAAACUGUAAAAUCUUCCUAGUUCUACCUUCACUAACAUGUGGCAUGGGUAGCAAUCUUGAGAACACAACCCUGGAGGUCCUGUCCUUUAACUUAGCACCUAACUCCCCGAACUCCUGAUGCAGAACCUCGUCAGUCAUCCUAUCGAUGUCAUCCUAUAUAGACCACUUAAGAAUGCUGAGCACUCGAUCCGAGAUGUCCCUGACCCUGGCACUCAGGAGGCAACAUACCAUCUAGGAAUCUCGUUUUCGUCCACAGAUCCUCCUAUCUGUUCUCCUGAAUAACAAAUCCCAUAUCACCACAGCAAGCCUCUUCUUCCCCCUUCCCUUCUGAGCCGCAAAGGCAGAUUUAGUGCCAGAGACCCAACCACUGUGACUUUCCUCUGUUAGGUCAUCGCCCGUGACAAUAUCCACCUGUGUUGAGGGGGAAGGCCUCAGGGCUACUCUGCACUGGCUCCUUAGCCCCUUUCCUCUUCCUGACUGUCACCCAGUUUCCUGUGUCCUGCACCUUGGGUGUAACUACCUCCCUAUAUGUCCAAUCUAUCACCCCUUCAGCCUCCCGAAUGAUUCAGCAUUCAUCCAGUUCCAGCUCCAACUCCGUAAUGUGUUUUAAUAGAAGCUGCAGCUGGAUGCAUGCCUUGCAGUUGUAGUUGUCAGGGACACUGGAGGUCUCCAUGCCUUCCUGCUAAGCUGCCUGACAUCUCUACUGUCCUACCCGAGCAGAUAUCAAGCAGAGAAGGAAAAAGAAAUUGAGCUUUUCGUUCCUUUGCUUUCUGAGUGAAGCCACUCUUUGCUGAAGCCUCGAAGAGCUAAAGCCUCAAGAUCACUACGAUUUUUAAUUGUGUCUUGUACUUUAAUGACUGUAUUGAUUUAUCUUUACAAUCUAUGUACAACACUCUGAGCCUGAAUCUUAAUGUAUG